rnacentral:lncRNA from 1 species
CCAGCACCACACAGAGUGCCACUACCACGGCUCCUCCCACCAGCUCAUCUGCCGCAGCCAUCGGUACAGCCCCAGUCACCUCAACCAUUUCCCCUUCCUCAACUACCAUGCAGUCUGUCUUUACAGCUUCCGCUGCCACAGCUGUCCCUACCGUGCCUGCUCCUACAACCACUACUAUCACAAGUGCUGCCACCUCCACAGCUGAAGUCUCUUCCUCAUCUGCUGCCACUAACACCACACCGAUUACCACAAGCACAUCCACCCCUUCUAGCUCCACACAGCCAGCCCUCAACACAGCCUUUCUCUCUCUCUCUUCUGCUGCAAGCUCCACCCCUGCCACUACAACCUCAUCUUCUUCCUCAAACAUUGCUCAGACUGACACAACUACUUCUGUCACAACCCCACCCGUCUCCACGACUCUCCUCACAGCCUCCUCCACAAGGACUACCACUGAGCCCAUAAUCUCCACAACCGAGGUCUCCUCAUCACCCGCCACCAUCACCACAAGUACUCCUGCUCUUCCCAGAACCACAAAGAGUGCCACUACCACAGCUCCACCUGCCAGCUCAUCUGCUGCAGCCAUAUCGGUCCCUACCAAACCUGCUCCUACUAGCACCACUGCCACCACAGAGACAAGCACUACCACAGCUGGUCUCUUUUCUACAUCAGCUGCUGCCUCAUUUUCUGAGGCCUCUUCCCCUUCCACUGGGGAACCUUCCCUAGCAUCAAUAAGCACUACUUACGAUGCCACUCACACCACCAUGACUACUGCAGCCAAUCCUACCACACCUGCCUCCACAAUCACUCCUGCCACUUCUACAGGCACACAGGCUGCCACUACCACACCUGGUCUCACCACCAUGUCUGCUAUUACCAGUACCACACCUACAGCCACAAUGACUUCAGUUCUUGCAACCACCACAUCUGGUGCUUUAACCACUCCUUCCAUUAGUACCUCAUCAGCCCUCACCAUGCCUGCUGCCACUGCAGCAGCGACCACAGCAGCUCCCUCCACCACUUCAGCUGAUGCACCCAACACACUUGUUUCCACUGAAGAGAUCACCUGUGGUACGCCCACAACUCCUAGGCCCACUACCACAACUGUUUCCUCCACACUUGAUGACACUGCCCCUUUUGACACCACAACUCCACCUAUCGACAUGACAACCAACAAUGUCAUCAUAGAUAACUACACUUUAACACUUGACCCUAGCACAUUUUAUGACACUACACUUGAUAGUAAUGAUGGCACCACUGAGAGUGACACAGCUGAGCCCACAUCAGAUGCUUUUACACAAAGUCAGGCUGAAACUGAAUCAUUUCCUACAGCCCAGUCACCAUAGAGCACGAUUCACAUGGGUGAAACUUCUGAACCAAACUUAACCCGAGACCAAAAUCUAACACCUACUACUCUUUCUCACAAACGUGCUAAAUUUUCUU